rnacentral:rRNA from 1 species
UACGUAGGUGGCAAGCGUUAUCCGGAUUUACUGGGUGUAAAGGGCGUGUAGGCGGGGAGGCAAGUCAGAUGUGAAAACCACGGGCUCAACCUGUGGCCUGCAUUUGAAACUGUUUUUCUUGAGUGCUGGAGAGGCAAUCGGAAUUCCGUGUGUAGCGGUGAAAUGCGUAGAUAUACGGAGGAACACCAGUGGCGAAGGCGGAUUGCUGGACAGUAACUGACGCUGAGGCGCGAAAGCGUGGGGAGCAAACAGG